CGUCCUCGAUCUGCUGCGGGCAGAUGAAGUGGAUAUGGCUGUCCAUGCCGCCGGCAGUAAGGAUGCGCCCCUCGCCCGCGAUCACCUCGGUGCCGGGGCCGACGAUGAUGUCGACGCCGGGCUGGGUGUCGGGGUUGCCGGCCUUGCCGAUGGUCUGGAUGCGCCCGUCGCGCAGGCCGACAUCGGCCUUGUAGAUACCUGUCCAGUCGACGAUCAGCGCGUUGGUGAUGACGGUAUCGACGGCGCCGUCGGCGCGCGUCGUCUGGCUCUGGCCCAUGCCGUCGCGGAUG
rfam:Thiobacimonas profunda strain JLT2016, complete genome.